CAAUUGACCAAGCAGCCGUUUC
rnacentral:siRNA from 1 species